rnacentral:rRNA from 1 species
GACGAACGCUGGCGGCGUGCUUAACACAUGCAAGUCGAGCGAUGAACCACCAGCUUGCUGGUGGGGAUUAGUGGCGAACGGGUGAGUAACACGUGAGUAACCUGCCCUGGACUCUGGGAUAACCCCGAGAAAUCGGAGCUAAUACCGGAUAGGACCUUACCCUGCAUGGGGUUUGGUGGAAAGUCUUUCGGUCUGGGAUGGACUCGCGGCCUAUCAGCUUGUUGGUGAGGUAAUGGCUCACCAAGGCGUCGACGGGUUGCCGGCCUGAGAGGGUGACCGGCCACACUGGGACUGAGACACGGCCCAGACUCCUACGGGAGGCAGCAGUGGGGAAUAUUGCACAAUGGGCGCAAGCCUGAUGCAGCAACGCCGCGUGCGGGAUGACGGCCUUCGGGUUGUAAACCGCUUUUAGUAGGGAAGAAGGGCUUCGGCUUGACGGUACCUGCAGAAAAAGGACCGGCUAACUACGUGCCAGCCGCCGCAGUAACAC